GACAGAGGGUGCAAACGUUGCCCGGAAUCACUGGGCGUAAAGGGCGCGUAGGCGGGAAUGUAAGUCGGGCGUGAAAUCCCCAGGCUCAACCUGGGAACUGCACUCGAAACUGCGUUUCUUGAGUAUCGGAGAGGAAAGCGGAAUUCCUGGUGUAGAGGUGAAAUUCGUAGAUAUCAGGAGGAACACCAGUGGCGAAGGCGGCUUUCUGGACGGUAACUGACGCUGAGGCGCGAAAGCGUGGGGAGCAAACAGG
rnacentral:rRNA from 1 species